rnacentral:rRNA from 1 species
CCAGACUCCUACGGGAGGCAGCAGUGGGGAAUAUUGCACAAUGGGGGGAACCCUGAUGCAGCAAUGCCGCGUGAAGGAUGAAGGUUUUCGGAUUGUAAACUUCUUUUGUACGGGACGAAGAAAGUGACGGUACCGUAAGAAUAAGCCACGGCUAACUACGUGCCAGCAGCCGCGGUAAUACGUAGGUGGCAAGCGUUAUCCGGAUUCACUGGGUGUAAAGGGAGCGUAGACGGCCAUGCAAGCCUGGAGUGAAAGCCCGGGGCCCAACCCCGGGACUGCUCUGGGAACUGUGCGGCUGGAGUGCGGGAGGGGCAGGCGGAAUUCCUGGUGUAGCGGUGAAAUGCGUAGAUAUCAGGAGGAACACCGGCGGCGAAGGCGGCCUGCUGGACCGCGACUGACGUUGAGGCUCGAAAGCGUGGGGAGCAAACAGGAUUAGAUACCCCAGUACGA